CUCCACCUCUCAGGCUGAGGUUCAUUGUUUCACUAUUUAUUUUAAUUUUUUUAUAAGGAAAAUAUAACUUGAAAUUUUGAUAUUUCUUAAAUUUGAUGUUAUAGACGGAAAUGCAAACGGAGUGGAGAAAUCAAAACACACAAGCAACCAUUUGGCCAUUGGAAAAUCAAUACAAAGCUAUAGAAGGAAAAAAAAAAAAAAAAAACAAUAUACGAUAACAGAAUUUCCUAGGCCUACAAAAAUAAGAGGCGAGCUAUACACCCGGGAAAAUU